UGAGGAAUAUUGGUCAAUGGGCGGGAGCCUGAACCAGCCAAGUCGCGUGAGGGGAAGACGGUCCUAUGGAUUGUAAACCUCUUUUGUCGGGGGAGCAAAGAGGCCACGUGUGGUCAAAAGCGAGAGUACCCGAAGAAAAAGCAUCGGCUAACUCCGUGCCAGCG
rnacentral:rRNA from 1 species